AGCGAACGCUGGCGGCAGGCUUAACACAUGCAAGUCGAGCGGGCACUCUCGGGUGUCAGCGGCGGACGGGUGAGUAACGCGUGGAAAGUGCCCUGUGGUUCGGAAUAACUCAGGGAAACUUGAACUAAUACCCGAUACGGCCUUUUGGGGAAAGGCUUUCUUACCGAGGAGCGGCCCGCGUCUGGUUAGCUUGUUGGUGAGGUAAAGGCUCAUCCACGCGACGUUCAGUAGCUGGUUUGAGAGGAUGAUCCGCCACACUGGGACCGAGACACGGCCCAGACUCCUACGGGAGGCAGCAGUGGGGAAUAUUGGACAAUGGGCGCAAGCCUGAUCCAGCCAUGCCGGGUGAGUGAUGAAGGCCGUAGGGUUGUAAAGCUCUUUUAUCCGGGACGAUAAUGACGGUACCGGAGGAAUAAGCCCCGGCUAACUUCGUG
rnacentral:rRNA from 1 species